AACGCAAAUUGCACUCUCUGGUAUUCCGGGGAGUAUGCCUGUUUGAGGGUCGCUUAACAAACCAUCGAUUUCGUUGCUUUUUUUUUAAAAGUGAUGUUUAUCGGAUUUGAGCCGUCUUUUUUUUAUAUAUUUAAGUGGCUUAAAAUUGAUUUUUUGGUACGAUCGAAGCGUAUUUUUAUGAUCAAUUUUUGGUUAAAGAAACGCACACGUACCGUCAUUUAAUAUGAUGUAAUACGUUUGACUAUUGGAUUUAGUUCAUUCGUAUACGAUAUUUUUCAAUAUUUGACCUCAAAUCAGGUAAGAACACCCGCUGAACUUAA
rnacentral:misc_RNA from 1 species